UUUUUGCCCCUUUUUUUCCCCUUCAUCAAGUCAAGUCCUGCAGAAAGUAAUAUGAGGUUUCGUUUCAUGGUCUUUCUCUUUGUCUUUGCCUUUGCCUGUUGAUUGGUUCAACGAUGUCUUGAUUGAAUUUCCUUCCUUUCUUACCAUUUCCUUCCCUUGCUUGGAUGGUUCCUUUGUUUCUCAUUACUAUUUCUUUAAACUAGAUGUAGAUUCAUAUUCAGCAGGCCAGUUGGAUUUCACCUCUCUGCCAGAUAUUUACCAAACACCUUUUUCUAAUGUGUUUCUGGUUUCCAUGGUUCUGUUUUGAGUUUCGAUUGUCUGUGGUGUAAAUUGCCUUAAUUUCACUAUGUUGAAUGUCUGCAGGUUUUCUUUGUUUACAUGAGCUUCCCUUUUAUGGAUAUCAUCAAAUCCUUGACUCAAUCAAGUUGGAAUAAUAUCAGUGAGCAGGAGGAUUUAACUUUUUAGUUGUAUGGAGGGUGCUUGUGAGCUAUCCAACGGACCCGGACAUAUGGAUAAUGGCCAUGUGGUUUUGAGAAACUCUCCUUACCAGCCAUGCGUUAAAAGAUCACUACCUUGGCUUGAUUUGAGAGUUUUUUAUGUUAGAGUGAGCAAAUGUGAGAUUGAUGAUUCGACUCCUGAAUACCUCACUGUUAACCAUAUUCAACUCGAUCCUGACACUGUUCUUGAAGUGAAUGGCGUUAGGACUAGCAUCUACUCAGAUGGCCCAUCAACCCUUCUUCGAAGAGAUCGACUGGAUAAGAAAUCUGAAGAAGCCACGUUUAUAAGCACUGAUAGUAUAAGAAUGACUGGAAGUGUGAAGUUUGAGGUCUUUGAUAAGAAUGUUCUUGUGCUAUUAGGGGUUCUUACAUUGUCAAACAGUAAUGGUUUUAAUGGGGAAUCCGGAAGCCAUGGUCAGAGCUGGAGCAUGAAUUGUGAAUCAGACAUGUCAGUGGGAACUGGCUUUCUCAAGGCAAGGCAACUUAUGGUUCCAGACUCAUCUUCACCUACGAUUGAGGUAUAUGUUGCAGGGUCUUUCUCAGGGGCUCCUAUUAUCUUAACUAAGAGCUUGCUGCUUGGUCUCCGCAAGAAGCAAACUAGGAAGGGGGUGUUGGACUCCAUUCCUGAAUAUGAGACAGAUGAAGGACAUAAAGAUGAUCCUUCCAGACUUUCUCUCCAGAUAUCGGCUUAUCCAAAUCAUAAACCAGAAAGUGAAGACUACAACGACCUCUACUCAGGGACAGAAUGUUUUGAAGGUGAAGAUGGUGAGCUCUCAUGGUUUAAUGCUGGUGUCAGAGUGGGUGUAGGCAUCGGCCUGAGCAUCUGUCUGGGAAUUGGAAUAGGAGUGGGAUUGCUGGUUCGAACCUAUCAGGGCACUGCUCGCAAUUUGAGAAGGCGAUUAUUAUAAUCUACUAUUCCCACUCAUGUCAUUCUAGUAUAAUAAUGUAGUUUAUCUGAUCCUGUGGCUACUAACUUACCAGUGCUUCUGACAUAACCCCCUUGUUGAUUAGGAGCUCACAUUCUUGGAAUAAGGUAUGGGUGACACAUAAACUUCCAGCUUUUGAUGGUUUUCUCAGGAGCAGCAAAGCCCGCCCUUGGAAAUAAGAGAAGUAACUUUGUAUUUUUAUCUACCAUAAAGAAGCAGGAAUAGUUGGACAUUUCCUGAACUUGACUUCAUAUAUGAUGUGGGCUUAUUAUGAAGUCAAGGUCCUCCCAAUGUUUGGCGCAGUGGUCCAUUCUAGAGGUCUUAGAUCCCAUGGAUUGCAUUUAAUCCUUUUUAGGUUAGUGUCUUUGUUUAAAUUACCUUUAUUUACUCCAGCUGUGUAGGGACUAUUAAGAACUGUACUAUUGAUAGAAAAUGGUGGGAAAGUGACUGCGCCACCCAGUGUGGCUGCUAUUCGCAGCUUGUGAA